rnacentral:rRNA from 1 species
GACGAACGCUGGCGGCGUGCCUAAUACAUGCAAGUAGAACGCUGAAGGAGGAGCUUGCUUCUCUGGAUGAGUUGCGAACGGGUGAGUAACGCGUAGGUAACCUGCCUGGUAGCGGGGGAUAACUAUUGGAAACGAUAGCUAAUACCGCAUAAGAGUAGAUGUUGCAUGACAUUUGCUUAAAAGGUGCAAUUGCAUCACUACCAGACGGACCUGCGUUGUAUUAGCUAGUUGGUGAGGUAACGGCUCACCAAGGCGACGAUACAUAGCCGACCUGAGAGGGUGAUCGGCCACACUGGGAGUGAGACACGGCCCAGACUCCUACGGGAGGCAGCAGUAGGGAAUCUUCGGCAAUGGACGGAAGUCUGACCGAGCAACGCCGCGUGAGUGAAGAAGGUUUUCGGGUCGUAAAGCUCUGUUGUAAGGGAAGAACGAGUGUGAGAGUGGAAAGUUCACACUGUGACGGUAUCUUACCAGAAAGGGACGGCUAACUACGUG